rnacentral:rRNA from 1 species
UACGUAGGGUGCAAGCGUUGUCCGGAAUUAUUGGGCGUAAAGAGCUCGUAGGCGGUCUGUCGCGUCGAAUGUGAAAACCCGGGGCUCAACCCCGGGCCUGCAUUCGAUACGGGCAGACUAGAGUUCGGUAGGGGAGUCUGGAAUUCCUGGUGUAGCGGUGAAAUGCGCAGAUAUCAGGAGGAACACCGGUGGCGAAGGCGGGUCUCUGGGCCGAUACUGACGCUGAGGAGCGAAAGCGUGGGGAGCGAACAGG